GCCCGGCUAGAUUCCUUUCUUUAUGGGAGUCUGGUAUACAAAGGUUGCAAACAGAGGUAUUUUAUGCAGCUUAUGUGGGUUGCUUUGGGGGGCCUUGGAGAGAGUG
rnacentral:snoRNA from 1 species